rnacentral:rRNA from 1 species
UACGUAGGGGGCAAGCGUUGUCCGGAAUUAUUGGGCGUAAAGCGCGCGCAGGCGGUUUAUUAAGUCUGGUGUUUAAGCCCAGGGCUCAACCCUGGUUCGCACUGGAAACUGGUAGACUAGAGUGUAGGAGAGGAAAGUGGAAUUCCACGUGUAGCGGUGAAAUGCGUAGAGAUCGUAAGGAAGACCAGUGGCGAAGGCGGGUCUCUGGACAGUUCCUGACACUGAGGCACGAAGGCCAGGGGAGCAAACGGG